AACGAACGCUGGCAGCAUGCCUAACACAUGCGAGUCGAACGAGACCUUCGGGUCUAGUGGCGCACGGGUGCGUAACGCGUGGGAACCUGCCCUUAGGUUCGGAAUAACUCCCCGAAAGGGGUGCUAAUACCGGAUAAUGUCUUCGGACCAAAGAUUUAUCGCCUUUGGAUGGGCCCGCGUUGGAUUAGCUAGUUGGUAGGGUAAAAGCCUACCAAGGCGACGAUCCAUAGCUGGUCUGAGAGGAUGAUCAGCCACACUGGGACUGAGACACGGCCCAGACUACUACGGGAGGCAGCAGUGGGGAAUAUUGGACAAUGGGCGAAAGCCUGAUCCAGCAAUGCCGCGUGAGUGAUGAAGGCCUUAGGGUUGUAAAGCUCUUUUACCCGGGAUGAUAAUGACAGUACCGGGAGAAUAAGCUCCGGCUAACUCCGUG
rnacentral:rRNA from 1 species